rnacentral:lncRNA from 1 species
GUCAUAAUUUCCAAAUGGAGGGCGAGGGAGAGCUGUGUCUGUGUGUGGAGUAAUGGUUAUCAAACAUUUUUUUGCCAUUAGUUUCACAGGUUACAUGCUGCUAGAAAUGAGGUGGUCCACCUUCCCAGUGGCCGACAUGGUUGCUGUAUGGACAGUGGAGAGGACAUGGACGUCUCAUUUGUCAUGCCACUUUACUGCCAGCUGUUGAACGUUCUCCUUGAACUCCACCUCCCCUCUCUGCAUCUUCCUGCAUCCGAGUGCCAGCAUCCACCCCUGUUCGACCUGACUGUGCCACAGGCCCUUGUGCUGUUGGAGAGCAGAUGCUGGAAGAGUGUGGGACUGCUGUAACAAUUGUCCACAUACAAAGUGUGUCGCUUGCUGAGAUGAGGAGCCAGCAUGGUCAUCACCACGGACCCGGACACCCCAAGCCCAUCGUAAUGUUGGAUGUCAGUGGUGGACCCUGUGUAAACUAUAAUGUCCUGGACCAAUCCUGUCUUCACGUCGCACAUGCCAAAGAACUUGACCCCAAACCUUUGCCUUUUGGAGGGGUUAUAUUGACGGAACGCCAGCCUACCUUUCCCUAACAUCAGGUACUCAGCAAUGCAUAGGUCCUUGUAUGGCACAAAGACCUGACCAAAUGCUGAUGUCAGGCUGCUCCAAGGCAUAGCGAUUGGUCUCCUCUACUAUGUCUCCCACCAGCUCCUCUGUCAGAAACAACUUGAAGCACUCUGCCUCAGGUGGAAAUGGCAAGGGGUGUUGCACUCCAGACUGGGACUCAUCAAAGCAAAGAGCAAGGCCAGGAGGGGUGAAAUGGCUGUCAGCCUUCCAGCUACCACAGAACUCCUGUACUUCAUCCACUGUCGGUCUGCCUCCAUCACCACCAGCAUCUUCAAAGGUACCUGGGACUUCGUCAGUGGACAAGGAGUCCUCAGAUUCAGGGUUCUCAAUGGCUACAAGGUUGGGGGGCAGCUACUUACUGUCAGAAUUUGUAAGAUUUUCUACUUAGUGUGCCUCUAACAUGCACCAAGCUAACAAACGUUAUUACCAUGAAUUGCAGCUAUUACACAUGUUUUCCACUAACCAACUAGUUAUGUCUCAAUGCAGCUUACACAAGCAAACUGAUGUUUCCACUCACAGCACAUAACAGGAACUGGCCCAACCACAAGCCUGCGGGGGCCCCAUCUCGUGAUAACAGCAACAGUGUCUGGCAUGCCCGACCCUGUGAAAACAGGAACAGGAACACGCACACACACAUAAGCCAUAGCUUAUCCAAGGCACACACACCCUUAUUUAGAGCUUUGAUAGAAACCUAACAUCAUCAGAACAUUGGACCUGAGCCAACCAGAGGAUCGGGACUUCAAGACUCAACCUACUUUCUGUGUUGUAUAAAACAUGUAAACAAACUGUUUUAGGCACUCUCUUCCGCUGGCUCCCUCAGAGCUACUGGAACGAGUCCGUGCACACUGUACCAAAUAUCUUCACUCUGAAUAAACUAUCGCUUGUCAUAUAAUUUAGCGCCUUGUCCGAAUCAGUCCUUGACCGACUCUCCCUUCUUCUCAUUCCAUUUACCAACAAUACUCAGACUUAUUGUCAGAACUUUUUUUAAAUCUCAAGAAUUUCCGCAUUUGUGAGCUGUCUCCUUUUGAAAGACAUUGCUAAUGCUACAGCUUAGCUCACUAGCUACAUACAUAAACAACAACACUGAUUGGCUCGAAGUGGGAGUGAGAGGUUACGUGAUUGACUGCCGACAUGCGCCACUUGUAUCAAUAAAUCCCUAUCAGAAAA